UUCAAGGUUGAGUGGUUGAAGACAAAGCUUGAUGAGAUUUCCCUGGAGAGAAAGAAAGCAAAUGCUCAUGUCCAAGAACCCGAUGAUGAACACAUCAAAGUUGAACUGAAGACAAAGCUUGUUCGCUCUUGGAAUGGGUGGAAAGUAAAACUAGGAUAUUCUCGAUCGUGUUCGUUAUGAAAAAAUAGACUAGAUGGGAUUUUUUUUUUCCCCAAUUGAUAUUCAUUCAUACGCCAAAGACCAAAAUUCAUACAAAUGUUGACGGCAAAACGAAAUAGCCCCAACACUGAAAACCCAUAGAAAACGGUAACUAAAUCCCACACAGGGGCGACUUAAACCCACAUCGGGGUGACUUAAACCCACAUCGGGGUGAUUUAAACCCACAUAGGGGUGACUUAAAAGGACAUAAAACAUAAUAACCAAACCAACACUAGCACCAUAAACGGAUAAUCAUCACAAGAGCUACAACAACACACCAAGCAGUAUUUAGAAAAGAGUAAACGCCAAUGAUAGGGAGUUACCGCUGCUGCCACUGGCUCGCCACCCGGUAACCUCCACUUCUCAUACAACCACACUUAUCGAUGCUGCCUCGCCCGCCAAACGAUAAGACUAACCCGGAGACUUCAUAACUCGACAACGGGAACUCGCAGCUCGGUCCACACACCUUGGAUACAUACACGACAAACAACUAAAGAAAGAAGCUCACCCAAACACCAUGAAACUGAAGCCUUGCCUACAGAACUUCUCCAUGAACACUCACGGGAGAAGUCAUAAACAGCAAGCAACCACUGAACAUAUUACCCUUACCAAAAAGACUGCUAAGUCACAACCAUGAAAACGCUCUCCCUUGCCCUAUCAAGCUCACACCAACUUUUCGGUACACCAAACACUCAAACAAACGGCAAAACUAGUCCUAUCCGUAGAAGAACCAGACACUCACCAACGAUGAAAAUUCAGAGUACCAAAACAUAUCGAAGAUGGAUCUCUUUAGAAUCAGGAAGCAAAGAGAAAACUAGAUCGGGAAGAGAAGGUGGAUUUCGACGUCGGAGAAACCAACGCCGGAGCAAAACACAAAGAGCACGUACGGUAACUUUUGAGAGAAAAAGGACUGAGGAGUGAGAGAAAGAGUUCAGAU
rnacentral:lncRNA from 1 species